rnacentral:tmRNA from 1 species
GGGGUUGCCUAGUUUCGACAGGUUGUACUUUUAAAAUAUGCAAGCCGAGAAUGAUACUUACUCGCUAAACUCGUAUCAAAGUUAUAAGUGCAAACUUCAUAACAAAAGCAAAGGCUACAUUUGCGCAAGCAUUUGCAAGUUUUGCUCCUGCUACAGCUUAAAUUGCCUCUUUAGGCGAUUACCUAUAGCCAUCGAAGCGCUGAUUCUCAAUACGCGCAGCUCGGUGUCAUAUAAUUGAGAUAGGUCAUGUCGUUUUGUUUAAGCGACAGCAUCGAAACUAAUUUAAACAUAGGUCAAAAAGAUUUUGUUUAUUUAUCACUUUUUGAUCGAUUCCCUUCGGGGAGAAUAAAUAAACUAAGCUUGUAGACUAUUUUGAAGGAAUGAUUUUGGACAUGGGUGCGAUUCCCAUCAACUCCACAU